rnacentral:tRNA from 1 species
UGGGGUUGUGGCUCAGAGGUAGAGCGCUCGCCUAGUGAUCGUGAGGCACUGGGUUCGGUCCUCAGCACCACAA